ACACACUCCAUAUUACCCAGUCUUUCUGUCAUCACAGUAGGCUGAUUUCCAGGGAACAAUCAAUUAAUAUCUAGGUCAAAACAAAUGUGGCUUAGAAGGAAAAAAGGCAGAGAGACAGAGACCAGAAACAUGUAGCAGAAAUUAAUUUGAUGCAACAAUUUCUGGUUCUGAAACAGAGCAAGUAAGAUAAGGAUGUGGCUGGUUUUGUGAUCACUGUAAUCAGCAUGACUGACUGCUUACAGACGACUAAUUUUCAGUUCUAGGGAGGAUAUGCUGAGGGAAAAAGGGCAAGUUAUAGAGGAAAACAAGUUGAAUGAGUGACCUGAAUGAGUCCGUGCUGAACUUCCAGUUUUCUGAGGAGCUCUUCAGGAGUAGACACAAAUGCAUAGAAGAGAAAGGAUGCAGAGAAGCAGAAA